AUUCUUGGUACCGGAGAAAAAAAAAAAAAAAAAGAAGGUGGCUUUCCCAGGGCAAGGUUUAUCCAUUGCAAUCUGGAUAUGCUGACCCCUGCGAUUUCCCCAAGUGCCGGAAACUCAACUGCAUAAUUUGUGGUAGUGGGGGACUACAUUAGCGCUCUCCCCUG
rnacentral:snRNA from 1 species